rnacentral:rRNA from 1 species
AGUUUAGCCUAACGGCUGAACCAGCAACUUGGAAGAAUGUAAAAGCGAAAGCGAAUUGUAUAAAUACAAAUUAACUAUGUUAAAUAAAGUUCUAGAUAUAAUACUGAUGAUGACAUAUUGUAUCUAUAAGUCUUGACCAAGUCACGUGCCAGCAGUCGCGGUAAUACGUGGAAGACUAGUGUUAUUCAUCUUUAAUAGGUUUAAAGGGUACCUAGACAGUUAAUUAAGCCAUAAAGGUACUAAUAAACUAGAGUUUGAUAUGAGAAGGGGAGUACGAUGAGUGUAGAGAUAAAAUUCGAUAAUACCAUUUAGAAACUGGUAACGGCGAAAGCAACCUUUUAUGUAAAAACUGACGUUGAGGGACGAAGGCUCGAUUAAGUAACAGGAUUAGAUACCCUAGUAUUGUGAGCAGACAAUGAUGAAUGUCAUGUAUAAGAUUUUAUUAAGAUUAUUUUUGUACAUAAAUGAAAGUGUAAGCAUUCCACCUCAAGAGUAAUAUGGCAACAUAGGAACUGAAAUCAUUAGACCGUUUCUGAAACCAGUAGUGAAGUAUGUUGUUUAAUUUGAUAGUCCACGUAAAACCUUACCACAAUUUGAAUAUUUAUAAUUAACUUAUAAUUACAGGAGUUGCACGGCUGUCUCCAGUUAAUGUCGUGAGAUUUUGGUUAGUUCCAUAAAAUUAACGUAAACCCUUACUUUAUUUUAUAUAAAGUAGUUCGCCGCUAUAUUGGUAAUGAUAUAAGGGAUUAAGACAAGUCAUCAUGGCCUUAAUAUUGUGGGCUAUAGACGUGCCACAUAUGCCUUAACAAAGAGAUGCUAUUAA